rnacentral:lncRNA from 1 species
CGGACAGUGGCCGUCGAACACCUCUAGUCAGUUCAUCCUCAGGGUCUCUGGCUUCCUUAAGCUUCCUGGCUUGCCCGAGUCUUCCUGUCCAGAAAUGGAGAGAGGCCCGAAUUAGACCUUAAUUGCAAAAGGGCAGCAGGUGGGAGGACCUGUGAACAGGACAGGCACAGCCCUGGAGGAGGGCAGAGGUGCUGAGACUGCAGCUCCCAGAUUGAGAGCUCAGGCACAGUAAGGGACAGAGGCAGGCGAGGCUCAGCCCUGUGAGUUCUUAGCCCUGUCCUGGGGCUCGAGACCUGUGCCCCCAGCUGCAGUUUCUUGUCAGCCUGGAGAGCAGCAGGGCAGAUGUGCAUGCUGCCUGCCCACAGCCCUGGGACACAGAAGGAGGCUAGUGUUGGCAGCUAGUGUUGGCGACACUCCUGCUCUCCCA